rnacentral:rRNA from 1 species
UGUCAUGCCAAUGGCAUUGCCCGGUAGCUACGUUCGGACAGGAUAACCGCUGAAAGCAUCUAAGCGGGAAGCCCCCUUCAAGACGAGAUCUCCCUCAGGAUUUAAUCCUGCUAAAGUGCCGUUGAAGACGACGACGUUGAUAGGCUGGGUGUGUAAGUGCAGCAAUGCAUUGAGCUAACCAGUACUAAUUGCACGUGAGGCUUGACCAU